CCGAAUUCGUCGACAACAGAGUUUGAUCCUGGCUCAGAUUGAACGCUAGCGGGAUGCAUUACACAUGCAAGUCGAACGGCAGCACGAGAGAGCUUGCUCUCUUGGUGGCGAGUGGCGGACGGGUGAGUAAUAUAUCGGAACGUGCCCAGUAGCGGGGGAUAAUUACUCGAAAGAGUGGCUAAUACCGCAUACGCCCUACGGGGGAAAGGGGGGGAUUCUUCGGAACCUCUCACUAUUGGAGCGGCCGAUAUCGGAUUAGCUAGUUGGUGGGGUAAUGGCUCACCAAGGCAACGAUCCGUAGCUGGUUUGAGAGGACGACCAGCCACACUGGGACUGAGACACGGCCCAGACUCCUACGGGAGGCAGCAGUGGGGAAUUUUGGACAAUGGGGGAAACCCUGAUCCAGCCAUCCCGCGUGUAUGAUGAAGGCCUUCGGGUUGUAAAGUACUUUUGGCAGAGAAGAAAAGGUAUCCCCUAAUACGGGAUACUGCUGACGGUAUCUGCAGAAUAAGCACCGGCUAACUACGUGCCAGCAGCCGCGGUAAUACGUAGGGUGCAAGCGUUAAUCGGAAUUACUGGGCGUAAAGCGUGUGUAGGCGGUUCGGAAAGAAAGAUGUGAAAUCCCAGGGCUCAACCUUGGAACUGCAUUUUUAACUGCCGAGCUAGAGUAUGUCAGAGGGGGGUAGAAUUCCACGUGUAGCAGUGAAAUGCGUAGAUAUGUGGAGGAAUACCGAUGGCGAAGGCAGCCCCUGGGAUAUACUGACGCUCAGACACGAAAGCGUGGGGAGCAACAGGAUUAGAUACCCUGGUAGUCCACGCCCUAAACGAUGUCAACUAGCUGUUGGGGCCGUUAGGCCUUAGUAGCGCAGCUAACGCGUGAAGUUGACCGCCUGGGGAGUACGGUCGCAAGAUUAAAACUCAAAGGAAUUGACGGGGACCCGCACAAGCGGUGGAUGAUGUGGAUUAAUUCGAUGCAACGCGAAAAACCUUACCUACCCUUGACAUGUCUGGAAUCCCGAAGAGAUUUGGGAGUGCUCGCAAGAGAACCGGAACACAGGUGCUGCAUGGCUGUCGUCAGCUCGUGUCGUGAGAUGUUGGGUUAAGUCCCGCAACGAGCGCAACCCUUGUCAUUAGUUGCUACGCAAGAGCACUCUAAUGAGACUGCCGGUGACAAACCGGAGGAAGGUGGGGAUGACGUCAAGUCCUCAUGGCCCUUAUGGGUAGGGCUUCACACGUCAUACAACGGUCGGGACAGAGGGUCGCCAACCCGCGAGGGGGAGCCAAUCUCAGAAACCCGAUCGUAGUCCGGAUCGCAGUCUGCAACUCGACUGCGUGAAGUCGGAAUCGCUAGUAAUCGCGGAUCAGAAUGUCGCGGUGGAUACGUUCCCGGGUCUUGUACACACCGCCCGUCACACCAUGGGAGUGGGUUUCACCAGAAGUAGGUAGCCUAACCGUAAGGAGGGCGCUUACCACGGUGGGAUUCAUGACUUGGGUGAAGUCGUAACAAGGUAGCCGUAUCGGAAGGUGCGGCUGGAUCACCUCCUUAAGCUUGGAUCCCGGG
rnacentral:rRNA from 1 species